CCUACGGGUGGCAGCAGUGGGGAAUAUUGGACAAUGGGGGGAACCCUGAUCCAGCCAUGCCGCGUGUGUGAAGAAGGCCCUCGGGUUGUAAAGCACUUUCAGUGAGGAAGAACGCCUGGUGGUUAAUACCCAUCAGGAAAGACAUCACUCACAGAAGAAGCACCGGCUAACUCCGUGCCAGCAGCCGCGGAAAUACGGAGGGUGCGAGCGUUAAUCGGAAUUACUGGGCGUAAAGCGCGCGUAGGUGGCUUGAUAAGCCGGUUGUGAAAGCCCCGGGCUCAACCUGGGAACGGCAUCCGGAACUGUCAAGCUAGAGUGCAGGAGAGGAAGGUAGAAUUCCCGGUGUAGCGGUGAAAUGCGUAGAGAUCGGGAGGAAUACCAGUGGCGAAGGCGGCCUUCUGGACUGACACUGACACUGAGGUGCGAAAGCGUGGGUAGCAAACAGGAUUAGAUACCCCUGUAGUC
rnacentral:rRNA from 1 species